rnacentral:rRNA from 1 species
UACGAAGGGUGCAAGCGUUAAUCGGAAUUAUUGGGCGUAAAGCGAGUGUAGGCGGUUUCGUGUGUCGGAUGUGAAAGCCCCGGGCUCAACCUGGGAGUUGCAUUCGAAACUGCGGAGCUAGAAUAUGGUAGAGGAAGACGGAAUUCCACGUGUAGCGGUGAAAUGCGUAGAUAUGUGGAGGAACACCAAUGGCGAAGGCAGUCUUCUGGGCCAAUAUUGACGCUGAGGCUCGAAAGCGUGGGUAGCAAACAGG